UUGGGACUCGGUAGAAACAUAUAGUGUCUAGUUCAAUGCGUAACUAUACCCGUAUAUGUUUCUGCUGAGCCCCU
rnacentral:pre_miRNA from 1 species